GUAAGAAGUUAAUUAUCAAAUCAACCUAUAAAAAAUAAUGGCAACCCACAUCAACCUUCUCUUUGUUACCAUUGCAAUGCUAUGUCUUGCUUCAGUGACGUUUGCCGAAGUAGAUUUGACAGGUUCUGGAGAAGUUUCAGGAGAAUGCUUCCCUUUUCCGACAUGUCCAAAUGAUACAUUUCAAUGCUCCCUUCAUUGCCUUAACAAGGGCUACCAACAUCGUGGCGAUUGUGCAUUUGGCAAGAAGCUAUGUUGUUGUAACCCCAACAUUUGAGAGAUUUAUAUUUGAUAAUUGCACUUUUUGAAAUUUUGUAGACGUAUCUAUACAAAGUCUAUAAGAUUUUCAUAAAAA